UGGAUAUCUGGCAGAAUUCGCCCUUAGAGUUUGAUACCUGGCUCAGGAUGAACGCUAGUCGGCGUGCCCUAAUGCAUGCAAGUCGAACGAUGUGCCUUCGGGCUGCUAUAGCUGGCGAAGCGGGUGAGUAACACGUUUGCGUGACCUGCCCCAGAGAGGGGGAUAACCAUUGGAAACGAUGGCUAAUACCCCGGAUGUCUUUAUCGUUAGAGAGUGAAGACUAAAGCUCCGGCGCUCUGGGAGGGGCCAGCGGCCCAUCAGCUUGUUGGUAGGGUAAUGGCCUACCAAGGCGUAAACUGGUAGGGGGGCGUGAGAGCGUGACCCCCCACACUGGUACUGACACACGGACCAGAUACCUACGGGUAGCAGCAGCAAGGAAUAUUGCGCAAUGGACGAAAGUCUGACGCAGCAACGCCGCGUGGAGNGAUGAAGGCUUUCGGGUUGUAAACUCCUUUUCUGGGGGAAGAGAAAGGACGGUACCCCAGGAAUAAGGCCCGGCUAACUACGUGCCAGCAGCCGCGGUAAAACGUACGGGCCGAGCGUUAUCCGGAUUUACUGGGCGUAAAGCGCAUGCGGCGGUUUCUUAAGUCGGACGUGAAAGCUCUCGGCUCAACUGGGAGAGGCCGUUCGAAACUAGGAGACUUGAGGAUGGUAGAGGAGAGUGGAAUUCCCGGUGUAUGGUGAAAUGCGUAAUUUCGGGAGGAACACCCAUGGCNAAGGCGGCUCUCCUGGCCAUUCCUGACGCUAANAUGCGAAANGCUAAGGGGAGAGAACGGGAUUAGAAACCCCGGUAUUCCUUAGCCGUAAACGAUGUCAACUUAGUUGUAGGAGGUACCCAAUCCUCCUGUGCUGCAGCCAACGCGUUAAGUUGACCGCCUGGGGACUACGGCCGCAAGGCUAAAACUCAAAGGAAUUGACGGGGGCCCGCACAAAGCAGCGGAGCGUGUGGUUUAAUUCGAGGCUACGCGAAGAACCUUACCAGGGUUUGACAUGUACGUGGUAGGAACGUGAAAGCGAACCGACCCUUCGGGGAGCGUACACAGGUGCUGCAUGGCUGUCGUCAGCUCGUGCCGUGAGGUGUUAGGUUAAGUCCUGUAACGAGCGCAACCCUCAUCGUUAGUUACAUGUGUCUAACGAGACUGCCGGUGAUAAGCCGGAGGAAGGUGGGGAUGACGUCAAGUCAGCAUGGCCUUUAUAUCCUGGGCUACACACACGCUACAAUGGCCAGUACAAUGGGUUGCCAAGUCGCGAGACGGAGCCAAUCCCCCAAAGCUGGUCUCAGUUCGGAUUGCAGGCUGCAACUCGCCUGCAUGAAGUCGGAGUUGCUAGUAACCGCGCGUCAGCAACAGUGCGGUGAAUACGUUCCCGGGCCUUGUACACACCGCCCGUCACGUCAUGGAAGUUGGCAACGCCUGAAGUCGGUGGGCUUAACCCGCAAGGGAGGCAGCCGCCCAAGGCGGGGUCGGUAACUGGGACGAAGUCGUACAAGGUAGCUGUAGCGGAAGCUGCGGCUGGAUCACCUCCUUAAG
rnacentral:rRNA from 1 species